GUGACACUGUCGUCGUGUGAAGAGGGAUGGUAGGUGCAUUAGCGCAACGUGUCUGGCGCCCACUCCUAAGCGCAGGGACCACUUGAGACAGCGGUGCUGCUUGCAGUAGGCGCUGAUGUUCGAGCCAGACACAUGGAGAGCGCCUCCACCUCCAUGGUUGGCAACGGAGUGUUCCGAGUAAUGAAGACACCACAGGAAAUUUUUCAGCGGCAAGAUGACAACCGACGUUACACAGCGUCUUUGCAUCCUUCAGUCUGUAUUGGAAUGCAGGCAUGAGGUACGUAACUGCUCACACAUUAUUUCAGAAAUGUUUUUGGCUUUAUGGUGCGACUAAAAUUGGCAAAUAAGCCGCAGUAGCAGCAAAACUUCGUCAUGUUUAUGAAUCCUCUUGACAAAACAGUGUUAAAAACACGAGCAUGAAGAAAGGCAGCGAUCGUACUUGCAUUUUGCUAGCGCUGUUUUUUCAUGUAGCAAGAAGACAUCCUUU